UACGGAGGGGGCUAGCGUUGUUCGGAAUUACUGGGCGUAAAGGGCGCGUAGGCGGCCUUCUAAGUCGAACGUGAAAUCCCCGGGCUCAACCCGGGAACUGCGUCCGAUACUGGAAGGCUUGAAUCCGGGAGAGGGAUGCGGAAUUCCAGGUGUAGCGGUGAAAUGCGUAGAUAUCUGGAGGAACACCGGUGGCGAAGGCGGCACCCUGGACCGGCAUUGACGCUGAGGCGCGAAAGCCAGGGGAGCAAACGGG
rnacentral:rRNA from 1 species